AUGAACGCCGGCGGUGUGCCUAAUACAUGCAAGUCGAACGCGUUGGCCCAAUUGAUUGAUGGUGCUUGCACCUGAUUGAUUUUGGUCGCCAACGAGUGGCGGACGGGUGAGUAACACGUAGGUAACCUGCCCAGAAGCGGGGGACAACAUUUGGAAACAGAUGCUAAUACCGCAUAACAGCGUUGUUCGCAUGAACAACGCUUAAAAGAUGGCUUCUCGCUAUCACUUCUGGAUGGACCUGCGGUGCAUUAGCUUGUUGGUGGGGUAACGGCCUACCAAGGCGAUGAUGCAUAGCCGAGUUGAGAGACUGAUCGGCCACAAUGGGACUGAGACACGGCCCAUACUCCUACGGGAGGCAGCAGUAGGGAAUCUUCCACAAUGGGCGCAAGCCUGAUGGAGCAACACCGCGUGAGUGAAGAAGGGUUUCGGCUCGUAAAGCUCUGUUGUUAAAGAAGAACACGUAUGAGAGUAACUGUUCAUACGUUGACGGUAUUUAACCAGAAAGUCACGGCUAACUACGUGCCAGCAGCCGCGGUAAUACGUAGGUGGCAAGCGUUAUCCGGAUUUAUUGGGCGUAAAGAGAGUGCAGGCGGUUUUCUAAGUCUGAUGUGAAAGCCUUCGGCUUAACCGGAGAAGUGCAUCGGAAACUGGAUAACUUGAGUGCAGAAGAGGGUAGUGGAACUCCAUGUGUAGCGGUGGAAUGCGUAGAUAUAUGGAAGAACACCAGUGGCGAAGGCGGCUACCUGGUCUGCAACUGACGCUGAGACUCGAAAGCAUGGGUAGCGAACAGGAUUAGAUACCCUGGUAGUCCAUGCCGUAAACGAUGAGUGCUAGGUGUUGGAGGGUUUCCGCCCUUCAGUGCCGGAGCUAACGCAUUAAGCACUCCGCCUGGGGAGUACGACCGCAAGGUUGAAACUCAAAGGAAUUGACGGGGGCCCGCACAAGCGGUGGAGCAUGUGGUUUAAUUCGAAGCUACGCGAAGAACCUUACCAGGUCUUGACAUCUUGCGCCAACCCUAGAGAUAGGGCGUUUCCUUCGGGAACGCAAUGACAGGUGGUGCAUGGUCGUCGUCAGCUCGUGUCGUGAGAUGUUGGGUUAAGUCCCGCAACGAGCGCAACCCUUGUUGUCAGUUGCCAGCAUUAAGUUGGGCACUCUGGCGAGACUGCCGGUGACAAACCGGAGGAAGGUGGGGAUGACGUCAAAUCAUCAUGCCCCUUAUGACCUGGGCUACACACGUGCUACAAUGGACGGUACAACGAGUCGCGAACUCGCGAGGGCAAGCAAAUCUCUUAAAACCGUUCUCAGUUCGGACUGCAGGCUGCAACUCGCCUGCACGAAGUCGGAAUCGCUAGUAAUCGCGGAUCAGCAUGCCGCGGUGAAUACGUUCCCGGGCCUUGUACACACCGCCCGUCACACCAUGAGAGUUUGUAACACCCAAAGUCGGUGGGGUAACCUUUUAGGAGCCAGCCGCCUAAGGUGGGACAGAUGAUUAGGGUG
rnacentral:rRNA from 1 species